UACGUAGGGUGCAAGCGUUGUCCGGAAUUAUUGGGCGUAAAGAGCUCGUAGGCGGUCUGUCGCGUCGGCUGUGAAAACCUGGGGCUCAACUCCAGGCCUGCAGUCGAUACGGGCAGACUAGAGUUCGGUAGGGGAGACUGGAAUUCCUGGUGUAGCGGUGAAAUGCGCAGAUAUCAGGAGGAACAUCGGUGGCGAAGGCGCUCUGCUGGACCAUAACUGACACUCAGGGACGAAAGCUAGGGGAGCGAAUGGG
rnacentral:rRNA from 1 species